GUCGAAUUCCGAGAGAUAUUUCAGUUCGUAGAUAGGACGUGCAACAUUUUUUCUACUAUUUUUUGUAUUAACAGUAAACUUGUAUUAAAAUUAGUCAUCGCUUAAGGCGCCCCCCUUCGGACCAUAUACGAAGUGAUCGUUGAACGUGUAGGACUAUUUGCAGGAUCCAUCUGUUAGCCACUAGAGGCGCCAUAUCUUGUCCUUUAAGCUGGCAAUGACAUUCUUAAUGUGAAAUGCAAAAGUGAGGCGCCUAUGUAAGGUAACACACUUUCAUUGUUAUAGAGUCUUUUUGGAGUGUCUAUGUCCCCACUGCCCAUAUUUUAUGGUCGAGGCUAUUAUUCCAUCGGAAGGCACAUUUUAAAAUUUUUUCAAGAACUUUGGCAGGGUGUUCGUUGCUUUAGAAAAACAUCUGCUCCUGACUAAAAAGGGACUGCCAUGCGCAAUUGUGGCAAUCCAAUCGAUGGCUAGUGAGCAGCAUAAGUAAUGAACGUUUACAGGAUGGGCCCGAGGAUGCUUCCAAGGGGAACUACUGCAGAGAUAACUUUUGAAGUGGAAACGGUUAGACCACAGAAAAAGUCCUUUCGAAAAGGAAACUGACAAAGAUUUUGAAAAGUUGGUGGUGAAAAAGUCCUCUUAGCUUAUACAGAAGGCCCUGAUGCCAUACCCUGUCGAAUGCCUGUCGAAAUGCCCCUCACGAUGCACUUUUUCGGGGUGCCGUGGCCUUUUUUGAUGCCAAAUUAAACUCCAGAAUUGCUUAAACUCCCGAAUUAAAUAGCAAGAGGACCAGUAUGCACCUUUACAACAAGGCGAUAUUCACGGUUUAUCUCGGUAUUGGGAUAUGCUGAAGGCAAGAACAGGAGAGCAUGAUAAGCUUCUUUAUAAUACUCCCGGUCUCUGGAAGUGAAACAGGACGAAGAGGCAAGAAAAGCUGUAGAUUUCUUCACCGUCUCACCCCUGGAAAGCUUUGAAGCGUUCUUUAAGAUCCUUAGUAAAGGCCUCUUCACGAUCUUGAGGUGAGCGAGCCCAGUCAUUGUAAAUUGACCUGUUAGCUUCCACAGGCCGAAAUUCGUCUCCUUAUUGGGAGUGGAUUCUUCAAGCUCAUUGUUGAUGCUACCUUCGUUAAAUAACUCUAACAUCUUUCGAAUUCUGUGGGCAAGCCUACGAUAGAUCUGGUCACGGAGCCUGUCGUGUAUGCGUAGAUGUUCAUGUCAGAUCCCUGCGGAUAGCAGGGAGAUUACAGGGAGUAGAAGAGCCAGUCAAGGAUAACCCGAAAGUAAGAUGAAGCUGGUCCGAGCUUAGGUCAUGAGUACAGCAAUGAUCAUUUCUUGGGAAAGGAACUCCUGUCAGGAAAGAAAGUUUGUCUCCCAGUGGUCAAAACUUUACAAUUUCUGUAAAGCUUUAAUAAACA
rnacentral:sRNA from 1 species